AGUAGACGUUCAGAGUUUGAUCCUGGCUCAGGAUGAACGCUGACAGAAUGCUUAACACAUGCAAGUCAAUGAGGAAGUUAUGUACUGUACAAAUGGAAUCAUGGCGGACGGGUGAGUAACGCGUAAAGAACUUGCCUUAUGGACAGGGAUAACAGUUGGAAACGACUGAUAAUACUUGAUAUAAUGUAGAUAUUGCAUGAUAUAUACAUGAAAGGAGACGCCAUAAGAGAGCUUUGCGUCCUAUUAGCUAGUUGGUAGGGUAAAGGCUUACCAAGGCGAUGAUAGGUAGCCGGCCUGAGAGGGUGAACGGCCACAAGGGGACUGAGAUACGGCCCUU
rnacentral:rRNA from 1 species